rnacentral:rRNA from 1 species
UACGAAGGUGGCAAGCGUUGUUCGGAUUUACUGGGCGUACAGGGAGCGUAGGCGGUUGGGUAAGCCCCUCGUGAGAUCUCCGGGCCUAACCCGGAAAGGGCGGGGGGGACUGCUCGGCUAGAGGAUGGGAGGGGAGCGCGGAAUUCCCGGUGUAGCGGUGAAAUGCGUAGAGAUCGGGAGGAAGGCCGGUGGCGAAGGUGGCGCUCUGGAACAUUUCUGACGCUGAGGCUCGAAAGCGUGGGGAGCAAACAGG